rnacentral:rRNA from 1 species
AUAGCGUAUAUUAAAGUUGUUGCGGUUAAAAAGCUCGUAGUUGGAUUUCUGUUGAGGACGAUCGGUCCGCCUUCUGGGUGAGUAUCUGGCUCGGCCUUGGCAUCUUCUUGGAGCACGUACUGCACUUCACUGUGUGGUGCGGAAUCCAGGACCUUUACUUUGAGGGAAUUAGAGUGUUUCAAGCAGGCGCACGCCUUGAAUACAUUAGCAUGGAAUAAUAAGAUAGGACCUCGGUUCUAUUUUGUUGGUUUCUAGAGCUGAGGUAAUGAUUAAUAGGGAUAGUUGGGGGCAUUCGUAUUUAACUGUCAGAGGUGAAAUUCUUGGAUUUGUUAAAGACGGACUACUG